rnacentral:rRNA from 1 species
CGGGACGGGUGAGGUAACGCGUGGGUAACCUGCCUCAUACAGGGGGAUAACAGUUAGAAAUGACUGCUAAUACCGCAUAAGCGCACAAAACCGCAUGGUUUGGUGUGAAAAACUGAGGUGGUAUGAGAUGGACCCGCGUCUGAUUAGCUAGUUGGAGAGGUAACGGCUCACCAAGGCAACGAUCAGUAGCCGACCUGAGAGGGUGACCCGGCCACAUUGGGACUGAGACACGGCCCAAACUCCUACGGAAGGCAGCAG